rnacentral:tRNA from 1 species
GCGGAUGCGGCUCAGGUGGUAGAGUGCUUGCCUAGCACGCAUGAAGACCUGGGUUUGAAUCCCAGCUCCUCG